UACGUAGGCAGCGAGCGUUGUUCGGAGUUACUGGGCGUAAAGGGUGUGUAGGCGGUUGUUUAAGUUUGGUGUGAAAUCUCCCGGCUCAACUGGGAGGGUGCGCCGAAUACUGAAUGACUUCGAGUGCGGGAGAGGGGAGUGGAAUUCCUGGUGUAGCGGUGAAAUGCGUAGAUAUCAGGAGGAACACCGGUGGUGUAGACGGCUCCUCUGGACCGUAACUGACGCUGAGACACGAAACGUGGGUAGCAAACAGG
rnacentral:rRNA from 1 species